CCAGGCCCGGACACUGGAAGGAUUGACAGAUUGAGAGCUCUUUCUUGAUUCGGUGGGUGGUGGUGCAUGGCCGUUCUUAGUUGGUGGAGCGAUUUGUCUGGUUAAUUCCGAUAACGAACGAGACUCUAGCCUGCUAAAUAGGUGGCGGGUUUUGAAUUGAAAAACUGGGGGUUUGAGGUCGAGGGGAUCAGGGGUUGGUGGUGGCGGCGGCUGCGUCGUUUCGGUGCGGUGCCUUAUGUUUGCGGUUCCUUUCGGGGGGUCGUGGAUGUAUGGGUGUCGUUGUCGGGGCGGUGUUGUCGUCGUUGCCUUCAGCUCCCCCUUCGCGCCUUGGCUCUCGCGUCCGUCACAGCUCUUCUUAGAGGGACAAGCGGCGUCCAGCCGCGUGACAGUGAGCAAUAACAGGUCUGUGAUGCCCUUAGAUGUCCUGGGCCGCACGCGCGCUACACUGAAGGAAUCAGCGUGUUUCACUCCCCCUGUCCGAAAGGACCGGGUAACCGCUGAACCUCCUUCGUGG
rnacentral:rRNA from 1 species